rnacentral:rRNA from 1 species
UGGGGAAUUUUGGACAAUGGGCGAAAGCCUGAUCCAGCAAUGCCGCGUGUGUGAAGAAGGCCUUCGGGUUGUAAAGCACUUUUGUCCGGAAAGAAAUCCCUGGCUCUAAUACAGUCGGGGGAUGACGGUACCGGAAGAAUAAGCACCGGCUAACUACGUGCCAGCAGCCGCGGUAAUACGUAGGGUGCAAGCGUUAAUCGGAAUUACUGGGCGUAAAGCGUGCGCAGGCGGUUUGCUAAGACCGAUGUGAAAUCCCCGGGCUCAACCUGGGAACUGCAUUGGUGACUGGCAGGCUAGAGUAUGGCAGAGGGGGGUAGAAUUCCACGUGUAGCAGUGAAAUGCGUAGAGAUGUGGAGGAAUACCGAUGGCGAAGGCAGCCCCCUGGGCCAAUACUGACGCUCAUGCACGAAAGCGUGGGGAGCAAACAGGAUUAGAUACCCUGGUAGUCCACGCCCUAAACGAUGUCAACUAGUUGUUGGGGAUUCAUUUCCUCAGUAACGUAGCUAACGCGUGAAGUUGACCGCCUGGGGGAGUACGGUCGCAAGAUUAAAACUCAAAUGAAUUGACGGGGUCAUAGCUGUUUCCU